CGGACUAUAUAAAGAGGUGAUUCGCCAUCAAAGUGCAGUGCUCACUGAGACACAGAGGGGGAGGUGCUGCCGGUCGUUUCUCUCACCUGACGGACGCUGUUGUUUUUAAUGUAUGGAUCAUUUGAAGAUGGAGGAUGCAAGAAAUGAUGACCAAGAGUUUUCUUCUGGUGAACUGACUUGCUGCACCAGAAACAAGUCAGUAGGUUCUGGACCUUGUCAAGGAGAGGUGUGCACUCUGCUGUACCAAGCUUCUCUCCUCCAAUAUCAGGAUGGCAAGUGAUUCACAACACAACUAAAGGAAGCAGGUGGUACAGCCCAGACCCCAGCCUUCCACCCCUCCUCUCUACCUCAGAAAUGUUGUUCUGAACACUGGAGUGCCGUGCUGCCCUAGACUGUGAUUACUGGUUACUGCCUUGGACUUCCCUGUACUUGC